AUAAUUUUUACUGCCUAGAAUACCCAUUGCUGAUAUUUCUUCAGUUCUUCUUCUACUUUUUCAUGUCGAUCUCUGAAGCAACUCCCGAGAAGAACAAAUCCUAAACUUAAUCUCUUCUUAAUCAAAUUUGAACCCAAACAUAAAUCAUCGAACCAAACAAUAAAUUCAACUUGAAAACCUAAAAUCGUUAUCAUAAGUACCUUUUUUUGAAGAUUACCCAAUCUAGAGGAAAGCUUGAUGAGAAUCAACUUCAAUAUCGAAGAGUUCAUCAUUGAAAGCGGUUGGAAAGAUAAGUGUAAUCUAUUAUAAUCAUUUAAUUUGAUCGCAAAUGUUAAUUUAUCGAUUUCGGAAUUGAUUUCAAUUUCUUUUUUAAGAUUUCAAAAACCUAAUCACUUCGGUUUCAGUUUUAGUUUUUUAUUCAAUUCAUGAGUCUAGAUAUGUGUUGUUGUUUGGGAAAAUGUGGCUUAUGUUGGAUACUCACAAUCGCCGUUAUAGAAGCAAAGAAACUGGAAAUAAAUUUUACUUUUUUUUCAAUUUUUGAUAAUGGAAACUGGAUGGAGAAGAACAUUUUGUACAUGUUGUUUGGGAAAAUGUGGCUUAUAAUAUAGUGUGUACUGUAAAUCAUGAUGUUUUAUCUAUCCUAUUCAAUUGUUAAUAGUUGUUUGUUUCUGAGAAAAAAAUAUGUGCAUCGCACAUGCCUGCAGCUAGUACUCAUUAACUACUUGCUCAGGUUUUUCCAAAAUGCAAGUGUUGAAAGAUUAGAAUAUAUAUGCAACCCGUGCUCGCAUGCAAACCCAAAUGAUUUACCCUGAUGUGGUUAUCCAGGAACUCCUAGAGCUUGUGAAGAUGCAUAAGUGUUUUUUUAGUUGAGUAUCACUUCUUUGUAGUUUUUUUUCGUCAUUGUAGCCUAGUCAUUUCUAUGAUGAUAUUUUUAAUUAUUGUUUUACCAUGGAAUGAUCUAAUAAUUAUAGAAUGUCAAUUUUCUUUAUACAAUACGACUUGGUUUAUGAAAAUUAAUCAACUGAAAUGCAUUACUAACAUACCUUAUUAAUGGACAUCUUUAUCUUACUAAUCAAUUUUUUUUUGGUUGCUAUAACUUAGUACAGGGCAUUCAAACUUAUGGUUAAUGCAUACAAAGGAGGAGGAUAAGUAUAUUGGUGCUGCUCCAGAUACGGUACAUGGAAGUAUAUAUGAGUCAGUUCCAUUUCUGGUGCAUUCUAUCCACUUCCCAAGGAGGACAAGUGAGCCGGUAUUUAGAGGAAAACCCAUGUCCGCAUUAUGCUUCUAUAACAACUUGUGCUACUAGUGCACAUUUAAUUGGUGAUGCUGAGAGGAUGAUUCAGUUUGGAGAUUCAGAUGCAAUGGUAGCAGGAGGAACAUAAUCAUGUAUCAAUGCUUUAUCAAUAGCAGGAUUUUGUAGGUUGGACCUAAUUCAAGUUACCUACAUGUGAGGAUGGUGGACCCAAGAAGGCUGCUAACAAUUGCAAAUACUGAAAGUUCGAUUCUAGGGAUGAACAUAUUGAUACACAAGAGUAUUUUUCUAUGAAAAAGUAAAUUUGUGUGUGGUAGUGAAUAAACGGUCUCAUGCAUGUUUUGCAGGGGUGUACAUAUUGGUGCACAGUGUAAUUCUCAUGAAAAAGUAGGUCUUGUGGUGGAUAUGGACGACCAAUUUAAUGCAUAUUUUGUAGGUGCACAAGUGAAAAACAUACUGCGUAAACUUUUAAAAGUUUCUUACAGGUGCACUUUUUUGUACACAUUAAAUAAUGAAGUGGAAAUUAAAUUUUUUAAAAAGUGAAAAUUAUAUAGUCAUAUAGGUACGUUUUUUGUAGCUAUCGAAAAGAGGUUUCCGAAUAUAUAAAGUUUGUGAAUUUUAGAUGAGCGGUUCGAAAGAUUUAAAAUUAUUUUUACAUUAUUUAAAAUUGAUGAUGUCAUCAUAAGUCAAUGUGGACUAAACUGAAAAUAUUUGGACUAAAUUGUAAUAUUAAGGGUUAUUAGUGUAUUUUUCAUAUU